AACGAACGCUGGCGGCGUGCUUAACACAUGCAAGUCGAACGUGAAAGGCUUCGGCCGAGUAAAGUGGCGCACGGGUGAGUAACGCGUGGGUAAUCUGCCCUUGGGCGGGGGAUAACCUCUCGAAAGGGGGGCGUAAUACCGCAUGAGACCACGGCUUUUCGGGGCUGUGGGAAAAGGUGGGUCGCAAGGCCUGCCACCUGAGGAUGAGCCCGCGUACCAUUAGGUUGUUGGUGGGGUAAUGGCCUACCAAGCCGAAGAUGGUUAGCUGGUCUGAGAGGACGAUCAGCCACACUGGGACUGAGACACGGCCCAGACUCCUACGGGAGGCAGCAGUGGGGAAUAUUGCGCAAUGGGGGGAAACCCUGACGCAGCAACG
rnacentral:rRNA from 1 species